ACUCAAAUGAAUUGACGGGGGCCCGCACAAGCGGUGGAGCAUGUGGUUCAAUUCGACGCAACGCGAAGAACCUUACCUGGACUCGAAAUGCAGUCGACCGCCUCAGAGAUGAGGCUUACCCGCAAGGGACGGCUGUAUAGGUGCUGCAUGGCUGUCGUCAGCUCGUGUCGUGAGAUGUUGGGUUAAGUCCCGCAACGAGCGCAACCCUUACGCUUAGUUGCUCGCCCGCAAGGGAAGCACCCUAAGCGAACUGCCUCAGAUAAUGGGGAGGAAGGUGGGGAUGACGUCAAGUCCUCAUGGCCUUUAUGCCCAGGGCUACACACGUGCUACAAUGGCCGGUACAAAGCGUCGCGAACCCGCGAGGGGGAGCCAAUCGUUAAAAACCGGUCUCAGUUCGGAUUGCAGUCUGCAACUCGACUGCAUGAAGCUGGAAUCGCUAGUAAUCGCGUAUCAGAACGACGCGGUGAAUACGUUCCCGGGCCUUGUACACACCGCCCGU
rnacentral:rRNA from 1 species